rnacentral:rRNA from 1 species
GAGAGUGGGUAGUCCGCACGAGCGCACCUCACUUUUAGUUGCCAUCAUUAAGUUGGGCACUCUAGAAGAACUGCCAGUGAUAAGCUGGAGGAAGGUGGGGAUGACGUCAAGUCCUCAUGGCCCUUACGUGUUGGGCUACACACGUGCUACAAUGGCAUCUACAACAGGAAGCAACACGGCAACGUUUAGCAAAUCCCGAAAAGAUGCCUCAGUUCGGAUUGCACUCUGCAACUCGAGUGCAUGAAGCUGGAAUUACUAGUAAUCGUGGAUCAGCGUGCCACGGUGAAUGCGUUCCCGGGUCUUGUACACACCGCCCGUCACACCAUGGGAGUUGGUUCUACCUUAAGGCAAGGUUUUAAACCCUUGACCACGGUAUAGUCAGCGACUGGGGUGAAGUCGUAACAAGGUAGCCGUAGGGGAACCUGCGGCUGGAUUACCUCCUUUCU